AUGUGCCGGAACUUGACAUCUAUCUCUUCUAACUUCUGGUGGGGUUCAAUUCAUGGUGACAACAAAGUGCAUUGGGUUGCUUGGGAUAAAAUGUGCUUGCCGAAGAGGGAUGGUGGGAUAGGCUUCAGAAACUAUGAGGCCUUCAAUCAGGCUCUGCUAGCGAAGCAAGCCUGGAGGCUGCUGCAAGUUCCUGACUCGCUAGUGGCAAGGGUGCUUCAAGCUUGGUACUUUCCUGAUUCUUCAAUAAUGCAGGCUGCUUGUCCUUCAAAUGGAUCAUUUACCUUUAGGAGUAUUUUUGCAUGGCUCGGACUUAUUGAAGGAAGGAUUAGUGUGGCGCAUUGGGGAUGGCUCAAAAAUCCUCAUUCACCAUGA
rnacentral:rRNA from 1 species